GGAAGGAUCAUUAACAAUAAUCCAAACACUUGUCUUGGCUGCGAACCUGCUUUAACGAGCAGGCUAGCAGCCGCUGACACAACCACUAACAUUCAACAUUGACAACUAAUGGAGAACCAAUACAAUAUAAAAGAAAAACAACUUUUAACAAUGGAUCUCUCGGCUCUUGCAACGAUGAAGAACGCAGCGAACUGCGAAACGUGAUGUGAACUGCACUCUUCGUGAAUCAUCCAAUCUUUGAACGCAACUUGCACCUUGUAACUUUUGUCACAAGGUAUACUUGUUUGAGUAUCCGCAACUUCUCAACCCCCCUUCGGGGUGGAUUGUUGGACAUGAGCGCUCUUGCUUUCUGAAAGUAAGUCGCUUUAAAUGCGGAUGGUCGUUGAGACAUGUCUCCGCCUGGAGCAGUGUUCUGUGUCAACAGACGAUUGGGAUAACAUCCUUACAAUUGUCGUUGGCGAUACAGGCCUGUUCAUGGUUUGGUGUUGACAUGUUGACCGUCAUCUUGGUGUCUUGCCUGCCUCCUUUGGUGGAAGGUACUGACACCAUACACUAGAUGCGCAUGCAUGCAAAUGUGUGUGCUUCUGGUGCGAAAUGAAUGGAUCUCAAAUCAAGUAAGGAUACCCGCUGAACUUAAGCAUAUCAGUAAGCGGAGGAAAAGAAACUAACAAGGAUUCCCUGAGUAACGGCGAGUGAAACGGGAAAAGCUCAAAUUUGAAAUCUGGCAUCCAUUAGGGUGUCCGAAUUGUCAUUGAGAGGGCCUUCUUUUGGCUCGAGGCUGUGGUCGAAGUUCUCUGGAAAGGGACAACAAAGAGGGUGACAUUCCCGUCUAGGCCAUGGCUGAGGGUCAGCAAGAAGAAGGCUCUAAGAGUCGGAUUGUUUGGGAAUGCAGUCCAAAAUGGGUGGUACAUUUCAUCUAAAGCUAAAUAUAGGCAAGAGACCGAUAGCGAACAAGUACCGUGAGGGAAAGAUGAAAAGAACUUUGAAAAGAGAGUUAAAUAGUACGUGAAAUUGUUAAAAGGGAAACGAUUGAGACCAGUGAUGCAACGGUCCUUGAGCACGGCCUUUGGGCAGUGUGUUUGGGCCGGCUGCAAGUCGACGCUCCUUUUGUGCCCUGGAUAAGACACAAAGAAAGGUGGCUCCUUCUUCGGAAGGUUGCUUUAUAGUCUUUGUGGGAUACAGGGUGUCGAGAGGAGACAGGUAGGGUCGCAAGAUCCACGUCGACGAAAUGGUCUUAAACGACCCGUCUUGAAACACGGACCAAGGAGUCUAACAACUAUGCGAGUAUUUGAGUGGCAAACUCGAAUGCGCAAAGAAACUGAACGCGUGGGAUUUGUCUUUUUACGAAAGGGCAUUGCACCAUGGGCCGGUCCUUGUCAUUGACUUGGAUUGCGCUAGAGCAUAUCUGUUGGGACCCGAAAGAUGGUGAACUAUGCCUGAAUAGGGUGAAGCCAGGGGAAACUCUGGUGGAGGCUCGUAGACAUUCUGACGUGCAAAUCGAUGUUCAAAUUUGGGUAUAGGGGCGAAAGACUAAUCGAACCAUCUAGUAGCUGGUUCCCUC
rnacentral:misc_RNA from 1 species